rnacentral:rRNA from 1 species
UACGGGGGGAGCAAACGUUGUUCGGAAUUACUGGGCGUAAAGGGCGCGUAGGCGGCCUGGUCAGUCGGAUGUGAAAGCCCGGGGCUCAACCCCGGAACGGCAUCCGAGACGGCCAGGCUGGAGACCGGGAGAGGAGAGUGGAAUAGCCAGUGUAGAGGUGAAAUUCGUAGAUAUUGGCUGGAACACCGGUGGCGAAAGCGGCUCUCUGGCCCGGUUCUGACGCUGAGGCGCGAAAGCGUGGGGAGCAAACAGG